rnacentral:rRNA from 1 species
UCGAGAAUCAUUCGCAAUGGGCGAACGCCUGACGAUGCGACGCCGUGUGAGCGAAGAAGGCCUUCGGGUUGUAAAGCUCUUUCGCUUGGGAACAAGAGAAGCAGGAUAAUACCCCGCUAAUUUGAGUGUACCAGGUAAAGAAGCACCGGCUAACUCCGUGCCAGCAGCUGCGGUAAUACGGAGGGUGCAAGCAUUAAUCGGAAUUAUUGGGCGUAAAGGGCGCGUAGGCGGAGGCAUAAGUCAGAUGUGAAAUCCCGGGGCUCAACCUCGGAACAGCAUUUGAAACUGUGCCCCUUGAGGGUAGGCGGAGAAAACGGAAUGCCAGAAGUAGAGGUGAAAUGCGGAGAUAUGUGGAAGAACACAGGUGGAGAAAGCGGUAUUAUAGCUGAUUCCUGACGCUGAGGCGCGAAAGCAAGGGGAUCAAACA